GCCUAUGUAGCUCAGCGGCAGAGCAUUGGUCGUAUACGCCAGGAGUCGUGAGUUCAAUCCUCCACAGGAGGCA